rnacentral:lncRNA from 1 species
CCACAACCUCCAUGUGGGGGUAAAAUAGCAAGCAUGUCUUUCUGUUUACCCGGAAACCAUUAUGGCAGAGUCUGUAAAUGUUGAUUUUUAUUUUUAGAGGUUUCUGUGCUUUCCAAGGUGACCAGCUUUUAAAAUGCUGUCCUGAUUUUCAAUCACAGAGUCAUGGGAAAAGUAACCAAGGAUAUUGAGUACUUGAAAACUUUUUCUUCCCAUUGUUCCAGUUGUUUUCAUCUCAGUUCUACCUGCUCAUCAUUUUGGAAUACAAUUUUUUUUAAUGGAAUAGUUAGUUAAAUUUAGUCUCUGAAAUUAAUAUAGUCUCAAACUCACCGGGUAAAUUCAGAAUUUGGGAAUCCUGGUAGAACAAUGGCAGUAAAUCUAAGUGGCAAAAAAGUCACAUUUGGAAGACCUUUUUUUAGCA